GGAAUCAAUAUGGACUGCCGCUAGACUGUCAGACCCAAUUCACCCAACGUGUAUCAAUUUAAAGCCAUAAAAUCUGGGUAAGAGAAGAGUUUGCCAAAAUGACAGGCUGGGUUUUUUUAAUCUUCUAUAUCGUAUUUCCUGGCCCGACUCCUCCAAGAACUGUCCCUGUUCUGAGCUUCCGUAUCCUAGAAGGAAAUCCACCUGCCAGAAAGACAGGCCUUCACCCAGGGUGACUCUCCAAAUGUGGUAAAGGUUAUUUAUGUAAAAGAUCAUUGCAUUGUGCUUUGGCAUGCAAAAAGUUGCUUUCUCCCCAAGAUACAGAAACUCCCUCCAGUUAUAGAUCAAAACAGAAGGUGUCGACUGGGCUCUCAAACACCCAUUUCCAACAACUUCGGUUCAGAAAAUAAUGUUCUGACUUCAUGUUCCUCUGAGUGCCCUCCUCUGUUGGCUUCUCUGAGUCUCAGUGAUCUUUGCUUCUAUACUGUCCGAACACCUCUGCAUGGGGGUGGGGCAAGCUCAUCCAGUCUUGAGGGAGGGGAAGAGUAAGCAGCCUGUCACAGGGUGAGAAACUCUCCAUCAGACAGAACGUUCUCACAUGUGGAUUGUGAAUCUGUGGAUCCAGGCUCCUCCUUCUAGAUCCAGGGGGCCCACUGGUUUUCAGAGCCUCUUUUUGACUCCCACCUCCAGCAAACAUCCUCUAGGGCAGCCAAGCACAGCAGGAACCUGCCCCUAACAACCACCUGGGGUCAGUCAGUGGCUCUCAGGAGUGUGGGCUAUGCUGUUUAACUCCACUCCUGGCCUCAUUGGGGACAGCUUUGUUUGAUUA
rnacentral:lncRNA from 1 species